UACGAAGGACCCGAGCGUUAUCCGGAUUUAUUGGGUUUAAAGGGUGCGUAGGCGGACUAUUAAGUCAGUGGUGAAAGCCCCCAGCCUAACUGGGGAACUGCCAUUGAUACUGAUGGUCUUGAGUACAUUUGAGGUGGGCGGAAUGUGUCAUGUAGCGGUGAAAUGCUUAGAUAUGACACAGAACACCGAUUGCGAAGGCAGCUCACUAAACUGUAACUGACGCUGAGGCACGAAAGCGUGGGGAGCAAACAGG
rnacentral:rRNA from 1 species